UGUGUAGGCGGUUCUCUAAGUUUGGUGUGAAAUCUCCCGGCUUAACUGGGAGGGUGCGCCGAAUACUGAAGGACUAGAGUGCGGGAGAGGAGAGUGGAAUUCCUGGUGUAGCGGUGAAAUGCGUAGAUAUCAGGAGGAACACCGGUGGUGUAGACGGCUCUCUGGACCGUAACUGACGCUGAAACACGAAAGCGUGGGUAGCAAACAGGAUUAGAUACCCUGGUAGUCCACGCCCUAAACGAUGCAUAUUUGGUGUGGGUCAUUCAGUUGAUCCGUGCCGGAGCUAACGCGUUAAAUAUGCCGCCUGGGGAGUACAGUCGCAAGGCUAGAA
rnacentral:rRNA from 1 species